rnacentral:tRNA from 1 species
GCCGAGGUAGCUCAAAUGGUAGAGCGAAGGACUGAAAAUCCUUGCGUAGUCGGUUCGAUCCCGACCCUCGGCACCA